GCGAACGCUGGCGGCAGGCCUAACACAUGCAAGUCGCACGGAUCCUUCGGGAUUAGUGGCGGACGGGUGAGUAACACGUGGGAACGUGCCCUUUGGUUCGGAACAACUCAGGGAAACUUGAGCUAAUACCGGAUGUGCCCUUCGGGGGAAAGAUUUAUCGCCAUUGGAGCGGCCCGCGUCUGAUUAGCUAGUUGGUGAGGUAACGGCCCACCAAGGCGACGAUCAGUAGCUGGUCUGAGAGGAUGAUCAGCCACACUGGGACUGAGACACGGCCCAGACUCCUACGGGAGGCAGCAGUGGGGAAUCUUGCGCAAUGGGCGAAAGCCUGACGCAGCCAUGCCGCGUGAAUGAUGAAGGUCUUAGGAUUGUAAAAUUCUUUCAGCGGGGACGAUAAUGACGGUACCCGCAGAAGAAGCUCCGGCUAACUUCGUG
rnacentral:rRNA from 1 species